rnacentral:rRNA from 1 species
AGUCACUGACAUUAGAUACCCCCGUAGUCCAGGGUGUAAACGCUGCAGACUUGGUGUUGGAGGCCCUUCGGGGGCAUUCAGUGCCGGAGAGAAGUUGUUAAGUCUGCUACUUGGGGAGUACGUCCGCAAGGAUGAAACUUAAAGGAAUUGGCGGGGAGCACCGCAACGGGAGGAGCGUGCGGUUUAAUUGGAUUCAACACCGUAAAACUCACCAGGGAAGACUGUUACAUGAAGGCCGAGAUGAAGACUCUGCUAGAUUUUCAG